rnacentral:tmRNA from 1 species
GGGGAUGAACGGCUUCGACUGGUCGUGCAUGAUUGGGAGAAGCGUGCCGUGAAUGUCUCCUCUUCACGUUAAACAGGGAGGUAAAAAACAGUUGCCGAAAACAGCAACUAUGCCCUCGCGGCAUAAGGCAUACCCUGUCCUUUGAGCAUCGCUCGGGACAGGGCCUCUACCUUCUCGCGCUAUCGGAGGCAAUCGAUAGCUAGGCCGCCCGAGCCAAGGUGAUGAACCGAGAGGGAUAAGCGGGAAGCGGCGUCACGACGCGACCCGACGAAAAAACACCGUGAAUAGGCGAGGACGCCUGUCGCCGGGCCAAGCCUCGCCGAAACACCAUCCGGCGGCUGCGCACGGAGAAGGCCUUGUUUUGCCGUUCCAGGACGCGGGUUCGAUUCCCGCCAUCUCCACCA